AUGGAUGCUAACUAGCAAGCUAAGUGUCAUGACAAUAGAGAUGUAGUUUCCUUGCCUUAAGUUAAUCACUUUUGAACACUCUCACCAUUGUGUCUCGUGUAAUUUACAUUUUAACAAGCACAUUUAUUUAAAAAAAAACAGAUAUGUAUUUGAAAUUCAGACAUGGUUAAUGUUAUCAUUGAGAGACUGGCUAGUUAAGCACAGGGAUGCUAACUAGCAAGCUUGCGAUCGGUUUAGCUGAA